CCAAACUGGCUAGCUAGCAAAACCCAUUAAAGAAAUGAAAUUUCCGAGUCAGGUCCGGAUAGAGAAUUCAGGUUUUACGACGUCGUAUGGCAGAGUUAUCCUCUUCAAUUUUAAUAUAAAAGAUAGGAUUUUAAGCUCUCGAGAGGCAAUUUGAAGUCAUCUCUCACCUCAUGCAAACGCAAGGCAAACCUGGUGGCCUCAGUGAAUUUGGAGCUGCCAAAAGAGAUCAGCUAAGAAAACAUGAAAGCUCGAUGCAUGAUCAAGCCAGGGAUUCUGCCUGUGGAGAAGAUCAUUUUUUCUAUGUCUGCAAGUAGGACAAACUUGGUUUCCUUCUUUAGCGCCUCUACCAUUGUCAAACUUGUCCUGAAACUAAAACAUGUUGAGGAAAUACAGCUGCAAUGCUGUAAUAUUCUCAUAUGUUGCUAGUAAUAUCCUUGAUACUCUCUGUAUUACUAGAUACUCUGGAACAAGUUUCUAUCUUGUGAUCUCAUGGGGGAUUUCAUGGAACUGCUUUGAAAUUUUAGAGGGAAAA